UGGGCAUAAGAUUAAAAGGUUUACCAAAGCAGAGAGCUCAACUCUGCUGGCUUAGACCAAAUAAUUUAAAAUUAACAGGAGAUAAAAAGGAGAAUUAAUACAUUUUCAUCUUAUCUCAGUUUCGAUUUAACUGAUUAAAGAAUGGGGGAUGGAAUGAUGAUAUCAAUUUGUCUACUUCUAACAGCCGCAACAAUGGCAACGACAGCUACACCGACAACCACGACUGCAGCUCCAACAACCACAACAGCCGCACCAACAACAACGACUGCAGAACCGACAACCACAACUGCAGCUCCG